UGCAGUCGAGCGGAACGAUGGGAGCUUGCUCCCAGGCGUCGAGCGGCGGACGGGUGAGUAACACGUGGGAAUCUGCCCAUUAGUGGGGGAUAACUCGGGGAAACUCGAGCUAAUACCGCAUAAUCCCUACGGGGGAAAGCAGGGGAUCUUCGGACCUUGCGCUGAUGGAUGAGCCCGCGUCGGAUUAGCUUGUUGGUGGGGUAAUGGCCCACCAAGGCGACGAUCCGUAACUGGUCUGAGAGGAUGGCCAGUCACACCGGGACUGAGACACGGCCCGGACUCCUACGGGAGGCAGCAGUGGGGAAUCUUGGACAAUGGGCGCAAGCCUGAUCCAGCCAUGCCGCGUGUGUGAAGAAGGCCUUCGGGUUGUAAAGCACUUUCAGUAGGGAGGAAGGCUUUGGGCUAAUACCCUGGAGUACUUGACGUUACCUACAGAAGAAGCACCGGCUAAUUUCGUGCCAGCAGCCGCGGUAAUACGAAAGGUGCGAGCGUUAAUCGGAAUUACUGGGCGUAAAGCGCGCGUAGGCGGUGUGUUAAGUCGGAUGUGAAAGCCCAGGGCUCAACCUUGGAAUUGCAUCCGAUACUGGCACGCUAGAGUGCAGUAGAGGGAGGUGGAAUUUCCGGUGUAGCGGUGAAAUGCGUAGAGAUCGGAAGGAACACCAGUGGCGAAGGCGGCCUCCUGGACUGACACUGACGCUGAGGUGCGAAAGCGUGGGGAGCAAACAGGAUUAGAUACCCUGGUAGUCCACGCCGUAAACGAUGUCUACUAGCCGUUGGGGUCCUUAGUGACUUUGGUGGCGCAGCUAACGCGAUAAGUAGACCGCCUGGGGAGUACGGCCGCAAGGUUAAAACUCAAAUGAAUUGACGGGGGCCCGCACAAGCGGUGGAGCAUGUGGUUUAAUUCGAUGCAACGCGAAGAA
rnacentral:rRNA from 1 species